GAGCUGUGAUGAAAAUGCAGUGAUGUUCGGUAACAUCACCUCAUCCUGUAAUACUGGAUGAGAAAAUGUGACUCUGAGCUC